CCUACGGGAGGCAGCAGUGAGGAAUAUUGGUCAAUGGCCGGAAGUCUGAACCAGCCAUGCCGCGUGAAGGUCAGUGCCCUAUGGGCGUUAAACUUCUUUUGUGCGGGAGCAAUACUGGUCACGUGUGGCCAGACGAGAGUACCGUACGAAUAAGCAUCGGCUAGCUCCGUGCCAGCAGCCGCGGUAAUACGGGGGAUGCAAGCGUUAUCCGGAUUUAUUGGGUUUAAAGGGUGCGUAGGCUGUGAGGUAAGUCAGCGGUGAAAUGCCCCCGCUCAACGGGGUGAAGUGCCAUUGAUACUGCCGUGCUGGAAUGCGGAUGACGUGGGAGGAAUUCGUGGUGUAGCGGUGAAAUGCUUAGAUAUCACGAAGAACUCCGAUUGCGAAGGCAGCUUACUAAACUGCCACUGACAUUGAUGCUCGAAAGUGUGGGUAUCAAACAGGAUUAGAUACCCCUGUAGUC
rnacentral:rRNA from 1 species